rnacentral:rRNA from 1 species
GACCUCGUGUUAGGGUAGAGUACCCGCCAAAUUUAAGCAUAUUAAUAAGCGGAGGAAAAGAAACCAACAGGGAUUCCCUUAGUAAGGGCGACUGAACCGGGAAAAGCCCAGCGCAUAACCUGGCGUCGUGACCCGGCGCCAGGGGUGUUGCGUUUCGGAGGGUCCGGCACGCAGUCUCUCACCGCCUAAGUUAUGCUUGAAAGCGGCCACUACCCAUGGAGGGUGACAGGCCCGUGUGGCGGAGCCCGCGAGGGUACGCGAGAGAUUGUCGGAAAGGGCCUCUCUGUAGAGUCGGGUUGAAAUGAGAAUGCAGCCCUAAGCAGGUGGUACACCUCCUUAUAAGGCCUAAAUAUGACCACGAGACCGAUAGCGAA